AGUGAACGCUGGCGGCGUGCCUAAUACAUGCAAGUCGAACGAACGAAUAAGAGCUUGCCCUUAUAAGUUAGUGGCGCACGGGUGAGUAAUAUAUAGCUAAUCUGCCUCUUAGUAGAGGAUAACAGUCGGAAACGAUUCUAAUACUCUAUACUUCUGCUUUACAUAAGUAAAGUAGAGAAAGUUUUUCGCUAAGAGAUGAGGCUAUACUGUAUCAGCUAGUUGGUAAGGUAACGGCUUACCAAGGCUAUGACGCAUAACAGGUCUGAGAGGAUGAUCAGUCACAUUGGAACUGAGACACGGUCCAAACUCCUACGGGAGGCAGCAGUAGGGAAUAUUGCGCAAUGGGGGAAACCCUGACGCAGCAACGCAGCGUGGAGGAUGACACUUUUCGGAGCGUAAACUCCUUUUAUCGGGAAAGAAUAAUGACGGUACCCGAUGAAUAAGCCCCGGCUAACUCCGUG
rnacentral:rRNA from 1 species